AUGAUUAGGAACUUCUGGUGGGGAGACACGGAGGAUCAGAGAAAGGUUCAUUGGAUGUCUUGGGAUCGUAUGACAAAACCAAAAAGAGCCGGAGGUAUUGGUUUCAGAGACUUGCAUUUAUUCAACCAAGCUCUUCUGGCCAAGCAAGGGUGGAGGCUCCUGCAAAAUCCAGAUAGUCUGUGUGCAAGAGUCCUAAAAUCUAAAUACUACCCAAAUGGGAAUCUGUUGGAUACGGUGUUUGCACAUGAUGCCUCGCCGGUGUGGAGAGCUAUUGAGUUUGGCUUGGAACUAUUGAAGAAGGGGCUCAUUUGGAGGGUGGGUGACGGAAAAAGCAUACAAAUACAAAGGGAUCGAUGGAUCCCG
rnacentral:rRNA from 1 species